GAUGAACGCUGGCGGCGUGCCUAAUACAUGCAAGUCGAGCGAACGGACGAGAAGCUUGCUUCUCUGAUGUUAGCGGCGGGCGGGUGAGUAACACGUGGAUAACCUACCUAUAAGACUGGGAUAACUUCGGGAAACCGGAGCUAAUACCGGAUAAUAUUUUGAACCGCAUGGUUCAAAAGUGAAAGACGGUCUUGCUGUCACUUAUAGAUGGAUCCGCGCUGCAUUAGCUAGUUGGUAAGGUAACGGCUUACCAAGGCAACGAUGCAUAACCGACCUGAGAGGGUGAUCGGCCACACUGGAACUGAGACACGGUCCAGACUCCUACGGGAGGCAGCAGUAGGGAAUCUUCCGCAAUGGGCGAAAGCCUGACGGAGCAACGCCGCGUGAGUGAUGAAGGUCUUCGGAUCGUAAAACUCUGUUAUUAGGGAAGAACAUAUGUGUAAGUAACUGCGCACAUCUUGACGGUACCUAAUCAGAAAGCCACGGCUAACUACGUGCCAGCAGCCGCGGUAAUACGUAGGUGGCAAGCGUUAUCCGGAAUUAUUGGGCGUAAAGCGCGCGUAGGCGGUUUUUUAAGUCUGAUGUGAAAGCCCACGGCUCAACCGUGGAGGGUCAUUGGAAACUGGAAAACUUGAGUGCAGAAGAGGAAAGUGGAAUUCCAUGUGUAGCGGUGAAAUGCGCAGAGAUAUGGAGGAACACCAGUGGCGGAGGCGACUUUCUGGUCUGUAACUGACGCUGAUGUGCGAAAGCGUGGGGAUCAAACAGGAUUAGAUACCCUGGUAGUCCACGCCGUAAACGAUGAGUGCUAAGUGUUAGGGGGUUUCCGCCCCUUAGUGCUGCAGCUAACGCAUUAAGCACUCCGCCUGGGGAGUACGACCGCAAGGUUGAAACUCAAAGGAAUUGACGGGGACCCGCACAAGCGGUGGAGCAUGUGGUUUAAUUCGAAGCAACGCGAAGAACCUUACCAAAUCUUGACAUCCUUUGACAACUCUAGAGAUAGAGCCUUCCCCUUCGGGGGACAAAGUGACAGGUGGUGCAUGGUUGUCGUCAGCUCGUGUCGUGAGAUGUUGGGUUAAGUCCCGCAACGAGCGCAACCCUUAAGCUUAGUUGCCAUCAUUAAGUUGGGCACUCUAAGUUGACUGCCGGUGACAAACCGGAGGAAGGUGGGGAUGACGUCAAAUCAUCAUGCCCCUUAUGAUUUGGGCUACACACGUGCUACAAUGGACAAUACAAAGGGCAGCGAAACCGCGAGGUCAAGCAAAUCCCAUAAAGUUGUUCUCAGUUCGGAUUGUAGUCUGCAACUCGACUACAUGAAGCUGGAAUCGCUAGUAAUCGUAGAUCAGCAUGCUACGGUGAAUACGUUCCCGGGUCU
rnacentral:rRNA from 1 species